AGAGUUUGAUCAUGGCUCAGAACGAACGCUGGCGGCAUGCCUAACACAUGCAAGUCGAACGCCCCGCAACGGGAGUGGCGCACGGGUGCGUAACACGUGCGUAUCUGCCCUCUGGUACGGAAUGACCAGGGGAAACUUGAGCUAAUACCGUACGAUGCCGCACGGCCAAAGAUUUAUCGACAGAGGAUGAGCCCGCGUCGGAUUAGCUAGUUGGGGGGGUAAUGGCCCACCAAGGCUACGGUCCGUAGCUGGUCUGAGAGGAUGAUCAGCCACACUGGGACUGAGACACGGCCCAGACUCCUACGGGAGGCAGCAGUGGGGAAUAUUGGACAAUGGGCGAAAGCCUGAUCCAGCAAUGCCGCGUGAGUGAUGAAGGCCUUCGGGUUGUAAAGCGCUUUUGCCCGGGAAGAUAAUGACGGUACCGGGAGAAGAAGCCCCGGCUAACUCCGUGCCAGCCGCCGCGGUAAUUC
rnacentral:rRNA from 1 species